rnacentral:misc_RNA from 1 species
AUGCGAUACGUAAUGUGAAUUGCAGAAUUCAGUGAAUCAUCGAAUCUUUGAACGCACAUUGCACUCUCUGGUAUUCCGGAGAGUAUGCUUGUUUGAGUAUCAGUAAACACCUCAAAUCUCUUGUUUCUUGUGAAUAAGAGAAUUGGACUUGAGCAAUCCCAACUCUUGCAAAAGAGGCGGGUUGCUUGAAAUGCAGGUGCAGCUGGACAUUCUUCUGAGCUAAAAGCAUAUUUAUUUAGUCCCGUCAAACGGAUUAUUACUUUUGCUGCAGCUAACAUAAAGGUUGAAUGGCCAAUAUGGCUGACUGAUGCAGGAUUAACAGAGAAUUUAUUCUUUGUAAACUCGAUCUCAAAUCAAGUAAGACUACCCGCUGAACUUAA